CCUACGGAGGGCAGCAGUGAGGAAUAUUGGUCAAUGGGCGGAAGCCUGAACCAGCCAAGUAGCGUGCAGGAUGACGGCCCUACGGGUUGUAAACUGCUUUUAUACGGGAAUAACGCGCCUUACGUGUAGGGCUUUGCAUGUACCGUAUGAAUAAGGACCGGCUAAUUCCGUGCCAGCAGCCGCGGUAAUACGGAAGGUCCGGGCGUUAUCCGGAUUUAUUGGGUUUAAAGGGAGCGUAGGCCGCAUGUCAAGCGUGCUGUGAAAUGUCCGGGCUAAACCCGGGCCUUGCAGCGCGAACUGGCGUGCUUGAGUCCGCGGAAAGCAGGCGGAAUUCGUCGUGUAGCGGUGAAAUGCUUAGAUAUGACGAAGAACCCCGAUUGCGAAGGCAGCUUGCUGCAGCGGAACUGACGCUGAUGCUCGAAAGCGCGGGUAUCGAACAGGAUUAGAUACCCGAGUAGUC
rnacentral:rRNA from 1 species